rnacentral:rRNA from 1 species
CUGACCGUGCAAAGGUAGCAUAAUCAUUUGCCUUAUAAUUGAAGGCUAGUAUGAAUGGUUUGACAAGAAUGAAGCUGUCUCUUUAUAAUUUAAUAAAAUUUUAUUUUUAGGUGAAGAAGCCUAAGUAAAAUUAAAAGACAAGAAGACCCUAUCGAGCUUAAAAAAAAUUAAUAGAAUUAAAUCAAUUAAUAUUGAUAAAAAAUUAUCUAUUAAAUAUUUUAGUUGGGGCGACUGAGGAACAUAAAAAGCUUCCUUUAAAUAUAUUAACUAAAGUCGAAUUAGAAAUGAUCCAAAAUUAUUUUGAUUAAAGGAAUUAGUUACCGUAGGGAUAACAGCAUUAUCUUUUUUAAGAGCUCAUAUCGAAAAAAAGGUUUGUGACCUCGAUGUUGGACCAGAAUAUCCUAAAGGUGC